GUGCUCGCUUCGGCAGCACAUAUACUAAAACAAUUAGAAUGAUACAGAGACGAUUAGCAUGGCCCCUGCACAAGGACGACAUGCAAAUUCGUAAAGCAUUCCACAUUUUU
rnacentral:snRNA from 1 species